rfam:Prevotella sp. oral taxon 299 str. F0039 plasmid, complete sequence.
GCAAUACGGGCAAGUCUUACACGACCAGCUCCUUUCGAAUCCUCCAGGAUAGGAAUAUAGCAAAGGUAGAAGGUUGAGCGGUGCGAUGUAAGUAGCUUGUCCACCC